AGUGCUUACUGCAUUUUUUCUUACACAUGUGUUUUUCUUUUUUUGAAAACUUUGCUUUGAUAGGCCUUCUAUAUGGGGCCUGCCAGAGAUUAAACUCAACCAAAUUUUAUUUAAUGUCAACCGAUUAUUUAAUAGUCAAAACUUUCAACAACGGAUCUCUUGGUUCUCGCAUCGAUGAAGAACGCAGCGAAAUGCGAUAAGUAAUAUGAAUUGCAGAUAUUCGUGAAUCAUCGAAUCUUUGAACGCACAUUGCGCCCUUUGGUAUUCCAAAGGGCAUGCCUGUUUGAGCGUCAUUUCUCCCUCAAACCCUCGGGUUUGGUGUUGAGCGAUACGCUGGGUUUGCUUGAAAGAAAGGCGGAGUAUAAACUAAUGGAUAGGUUUUUUCCACUCAUUGGUACAAACUCCAAAACUUCUUCCAAAUUCGACCUCAAAUCAGGUAGGACUACCCGCUGAACUUAAGCAUAUCAAUAAGCGGAGGGAAAAGAAA
rnacentral:rRNA from 1 species